ensembl:lncRNA
UGAACAGUCAGAGUGAUGUUGGAUGCUGAUAUCUCAACGAUCCCGAACAAUAGACUCUGGCUAGAGCCGAUAUUCCCUGCCCCUAGGGGCACUGUGGGUUGGGGUGUACGUUGUGUUUUCAGUGUUUCCUGUACACAGAAGAAGAGACCAGGAAAUAAAAGGGGCGAAAACAUGGAGUUCGAGGCGCUCCUCAGCCCGAGGACACGAGGAUUUAUGCCUGGACGCCGACAACCCGGACCGCUCAUCACUACCCGGACCGCUCAUCACUACCCGGACCGCUCAUCACUACCCGCUACCUCCAGAGGACUACGCGACCAGACUUCGCAAGCCAGGAAGGACCUUUCGGGCGUACCGUCGUUUCCCUACAACGCCUGCGAGUCCCGUCAGAAAGGGACGUACUCUAGCGUAAGCGUGAGUGAGUCGGAUUCCGUAACGUCUGAUCACCCUGACGCAUCGUUUUGUCUGUUCUGUCUAGAGGAUCUGGUGCAGGUCUUCUGGUCCGCUCCGGCCUCCGUGACCAGCGAGGGACGGCGCCGGCGGACGGAUCUCCACUCUACAUCCUAGAGCACUGUUUAUUUGGUUUGCUUUGUUUUUCCAACUCGCCGUUUGAGGGACUGGUCUGGCGCGAGUUGGAACGAACGAUUUUAUACUCUUUUACUGUUUGUUGUCUGUUAUAGGGAUAUUUUAUCAACAAGUCUGUCCUCCUUGUAUGGGACCCCUAUAAACCAGGGGGUGGCUACGGCAGGCCCUGUUGGAUACCAGGCUGAAUUGUUCAGCGAGCCCUUCCUUCUGUGUUCUUGAGGUUGGUCCCCCUCACGUGUGUUCAACGUGUGCUGUGUGUAGCGUACAGUGUGUAGCGUUCAGUGUUCGCAGUGUGCUGUGUGUAGCGUACAGUGUGUAGCGUUCAGUGUUCGCAGUGUGUAGCGUGCAGUGUGUAGCGUGCAGCGUGUAGCGUUCAGCGUGUAGCGUUCAGCGUGUAGCGUUCAGCGUGUGCAGUGUGCAGAGUUCAACGUGUGCUGUGUCUAUAGGCUUGCAGUGGGGGCAGGGUGUGCAACGUGUGCGGUGUAGUGUGUCGAGGUUGGCUCAUGAAAGUAUGGUUACGGUUAUCCAGAGUACCAGCCUACCCCCUGGCUUUCUCCCUCCCAUAUUAAGUGAUAGGUAGAUUUGACUUACUUGUGCUCUUUGUUUUAUGAAAUUGUAUUAAUAAAGCAUUUCUGUUAAUAAUUGAUCCAUCGACUGCUGUUGUGGUAUUUGGGGGAAUCCUUAGUUAGGGGUUUGCGCGACACCUGUCUCUGCAUCCCACAGACUGGCUGUCGAUUCAUCCUUGGACUUAUAGACCCCAGCCAGGAUGAGGAGCCCCAAAUACGCAUCUAAAUGUGUUUUGUCCAGCUCCUUCCACUUCUCCCCAAAAACACGCCUCCCUCAUAGAUUAGUAAUUUCCAGAAUGAUUUUCUG